rnacentral:lncRNA from 1 species
UUUUUAGUGAAAAGAAAAGCUGCUGCAAUUUUCUGGGCAAUUUCUGCAUUUUUCGCACGUGUGAACAGUGACCGCACCUGCGUGAACAGUACCGUGAACAGUACCCCGUGAACAGUACCAUGAACAGUACCCCAUGAACAGUCGUGAAUAGUGUGAACAGUACCGGACAGAAUGUUAAGUUCUGGAAAAUGGGACGAAUCCCAUUUUCCAUUUUUACCAAAUUGGAGCUCGGGGAGAGGCAAUUUUCGGGAGAUUUUCAGAGAAAACAACGGGGUAAGUGUUCUUAACUUAAUUUUGGUUAGAUUACCCGAAUCUAUUACUAGUUUUGACAUUUAAUUGGUGAUUUUAGUUGAGAAAAUCUUGAAAACCCUCUUGAUUUAAUUUGAAGAUUUGAGGGUCGAGUUGAUGUCGGAUUUUAGUAAAAUUGGUAUGGUUGGACUCGUGGUUGGAUGAAGUUUCAUAUUCCGUAAUUUUUGUUGGGUUCCGAGAUGUGGGCUCCACGGGCAAAUUUUAAGUGCAAUUUCGAAUUUUUAAUGGAAAAUGUAGGAUUUCAUAUGGAAUUAAUUCCUAUAAUUUUAAUUAACUGAAUCGAAUUAUUGUGGCUAGAUUCGAGGCAUUCAGAGGUUGAUUUGAGAGACAAAGGCAUCACGAGCUAGAGGAUUAGCCGGUUCG